UGGAAGAGUGAAUUUUUAAACUAUAAUUAUUAAUAGUUAAUGUCUUUAAAAUUAAAGAUUUUGGCGGUAUUUUAGUCUUUUCAGAGGAACCUGUUUAUUAAUCGAUAGUCCACGAUUUAUUUUACUUUAGUUUUAAAUUUACAUAUCGUUGUAAAAUAAAUAUUUUUAUAGAAUUUAAAUGUUUGAGAUUUAUUAUUAUAUAUUAAUUCAGAUCAAGGUGUAGUUUAUAUUAAAGUUUAAAUGGGUUACAUUAUAUUUAUAUGUGGUUUNUAUAGUUGAAAACUAUUGAAUAAAUUGGAUUUGAGAGUAAUUUUUAUAGUUUUAUAGGAUGAUUUAGCUCUAAAAUAUGC
rnacentral:rRNA from 1 species